rnacentral:rRNA from 1 species
AGUGAACGCUGGCGGUAGGCCUAACACAUGCAAGUCGAACGGCAGCACAGUAAGAGCUUGCUCUUACGGGUGGCGAGUGGCGGACGGGUGAGGAGUACAUCGGAAUCUACCUUUUCGUGGGGGAUAACGUAGGGAAACUUACGCUAAUACCGCAUACGACCUACGGGUGAAAGCAGGGGAUCUUCGGACCUUGCGCGAUUGAAUGAGCCGAUGUCGGAUUAGCUAGUUGGCGGGGUAAAGGCCCACCAAGGCGACGAUCCGUAGCUGGUCUGAGAGGAUGAUCAGCCACACUGGAACUGAGACACGGUCCAGACUCCUACGGGAGGCAGCAGUGGGGAAUAUUGGACAAUGGGCGCAAGCCUGAUCCAGCCAUACCGCGUGGGUGAAGAAGGCCUUCGGGUUGUAAAGCCCUUUUGUUGGGAAAGAAAAGCAGCAGGUUAAUACCCCGCUGUUCUGACGGUACCCAAAGAAUAAGCACCGGCUAACUUCGUG